AGACAGAGAAAGGUAUGUCCCAGUCUUGCUCUGCUUAAGCGAAGUGUUUUAUCCAUCCCAGAACACAGCCUUGAAAGGGCCUUCAGAUUUGAGUUGUGUGUUUAAUAUUUUGGACUCUGUGGAAGAAGAACAGCCAGCUUCAGCUCCCACAUCGUGCUGUCUGUGGGGGGCCCGUGUAGCAAGGAUAACAAACUCGAAGGUAGGAAUCGGGAUUUUGUAACUUCAGAAGCUAUCUCCUUUCCAAAGGUAGUUCUUUCCAGCCUCUCCCUGCAGUGAUCCUGUCAGGUUAGGGCAUUUUCAAACUGCUGCUCGCUUUGGGGUGGGAUUCAAUCACAUACCGGCAAAUUCAGGUUGCACAACCAAAGUUGUUUGGGAGGUCAUAUGCAAUUAACCCACUUCCUCAAAAGAUCACACUUUUUGCGAUAAGCAUAGUGAGCAGGAAACGCACAGGAAAGUGUAUGUGAGGGUAAUGCUUGCUUUGACACGUCAUAUAAAUUCCACACAAAUGCUUCAGGAUGAAUGCUCAAUAAAUAGGCCAUCCAGCAUCACACUUAGUUACUACUGCAUUUUACAAAUUGGGCAACUGAGGCUAUACCCACAUAAAAUAUAUUUUAAAACACACACACACACAGAGAGAGAGAGAGAGAGAGAGAGAGAGAGAUCAAGAAUCAUGGGAAAUGUGGUUCGUUAAGGGUUCUGGGAAUUGCUGCUCAGUGCGGCAUAAACUACAGGAGUCUUGGGGAAGGGCAUGUGCUUUAAAGGUGCUUUAAAUGUAUGGUGUGUUCACAGCCUGAGGCUGAGAAAUAGACAGCUUGACUGAGGCCACUGGUCACCAGCAGAGAUUUGAAACCCACCUUCCUUUCCCGAGGUGAAGGACAAGACCUCCCCCACAUUCACACACAUGCACACAGCCCAUGUGUACUUCCAGCUGAAUCUUAUUUUGGCAUUUGCAGCAGGGCAGCUUUCUGUACCACACCCAAGGGCAACAGGAUGUAGGGGGUGUGGCAUGGCACAUAUCUCCAGUGCCUCUCUGCUGCCUGAGGCGGUUGCUUCCCUCUCCCCAAUGGUAGAACUGGGACUGACUCCAGCCAAGCUGGAUAGUUACAUGGGGUAAAAAUAUGAUGGAGGGGGAGGGAAUGGGAAGCAGAUGGUGGAGGGGGAGAAGGGGUGCUUCUUCUCAACUUGAUUGUGGUCCUUUUCUCUCACUGGCUUCCGUGAUGUGGGCAGUUCAAUAUUAAUUUUAACAGGAAAUAAAUCCCAGGUCUAGUUUAUACUUUGGGGUGUGAGGAGACCACGAACAAGGACACCCAAACCCUCUAACUAUGUUGGUUUGUUGACAACGGAAGAGUGCUCCUUCAGGGGUGAAGUCUCACAGCUGGAGAGUUACAGCGCCUGCUGUGGGAUGGAGGGAUGGUGAAAGUGUGGUGCAAAGAGUGCAGAUACACACGCCGGGGCUGCAAUGUUCUCAAGUGCAUUUUCCUGGGUGCAAGACAUGCAUGUGAGAAGGUCAGUGUGGUAUAGUGGUUAGAGUAUCAGAUUAGGACAAGGGGAAACUAGCUUCAAAUCCCUGCUCAGCUAUGAAGCUCAGGGUUGAAGUAAGAUUCAACUGGGGAAGGGCCACGUAGCCCAGUGGUAGGCCAAUUUUGUCCACAGCUUUGUAUGUAGAAGGUGCCAGGUUCAGUUCCUGGCAUCUGCUGGUAGGGCUGGGGGAGACCCCUGUCUGAAAUCCUGGUGAGUAUAGGAGAUACUGAGCUAAGCAGGUGAAUGGUCUGCCUCGGUAACUGCCCUGAACCCCUGGCCUACCUGGCAGCAAGUCAGUAUGCCAAGUCCAAACUUCAAAGUCUGAGGGUUGAUCCACACAAGCGAAAUCCAAAGACCGAAGCUCAGGAAAAGAGGUUCAAGGGUGAUCCAAGUAGCCAAGUCCAAAGUCCUGCAGUCAGGAUACAGUCCUGAGUCAAACCCAAAACAUAGUCCCACGGAGGUCCAGGUCCAUCAACAUGGGCAGUUGAGCAGAGCCAGCACCUCAGCUCUGCUGCCCUUGUAUACUUUGCCUGCUGACUGCAGCAUCUGACCUUGAUGAGGCAUAUGAGCCUCACCUGUUCCUAGCCUACUCCAGCUGAGGAAUCACACCCCUUCUUUCAGAGCUAGUUUGCUAGGCUGUGGGCUCUUGCCUGCCUUAGCCUCCUGGAGUCCCCCUCCUGCUGUUCCCUAUGCUUCAGAGCCCACUGUGUUCCUGGGGACAGGGCCCCCUCUGGAUCCGGUGAUGGGUCCUGCUGCUCUGGUUCCUGUGCAUUGUCCUCUGUCACCCUGUGAUUACUUCCUACAACAGCUUCUCCUUCCCCAUCCCCUGCUUGCCUCGGUGUGUCCCAGUCCCAGCUACACCCCUUGCCGGCAUCCUCUUCCUCCUCCCUGUUGCCCUGCCAGUUCAUGACAGUAGUGGCAGAUUGUUUCUGGAAGGGACGUAGCUCGGUGGCAGACCAUCUGCUUUAGAUGCAGAAAGUCCCAGGUUCAACCUUCAUCAUUUCUGGGUAGGACUGGGAGAGGAACUCUCUGCUUGAAGUCCUGGACAGCCACUGUCAGUUAGCAUAGACAAUACUGAGCUAGGAGGGUCAGUGGCCUGACUCUAAAUAUGGCAGUUUCCUAUGUUCUUGUCAGUCUGGACAGCUUUUGUACAUGGAGUGAGAGAGGCACCAUCUUGUCCUUUGCCUCAGGCAGCAAAAUGUCUUUGGCUGACAAAAACUAUCUGGUUUAACCUGCUGUCUAUAUUGAGGGGGGGGCAGGGUAAGAGACUUUUCCUGAUUUGGGGAAUUCUCCUUCUGAAUAAGUUUGUUCCCGGACAGACUGGUACUCUUUUAUCCUCCAGGAGACCAGUUAACCUUUUCUUUGUUGUUUCACUAAGGUUUAUGUUCUAAUGCCAAUUUAGCUGCAGAAUCUUGAAAUCUGAUUUUAUGUUUACUUAGCUCAUUUGUUAGACUAUGUUCGUGUUAACAGUGUCAAUGUGUUGUAGCAGAUAAAGUUGCUAAACAUCAAAUAUUUUACUUGCCCAUUCAGUUUUGCAGCCUCAAAUUCAGUUUUGGGGAUUUCGCUGAAUGAAAAGCCAAGGCAAGUGUUAAUUUUCCAUUCCUUUUCAUCCCCUGUCUGAUUUUGCAACUCUUGCUGCAUCAAAAGCCAUCAAGCCCCUCUCACGUUCUAACCCCCCCCUCAGCCCCCCAGGCAAACAAAAAGCCCAGGCUCCACCUCCAGAGGUGACCAAAUGAUCCAGGCCCCUCUCCCUCACCUGCCAAAUCCCCACUAGGUUUCACCCCUGACCACUCAAAACCCACUGAUAGUGUUGUUGUUGUUGUUUUAAAUCUGUUAGUCAUUUUAUCUUGCCCAAGGCAACACAAAACAUCUUACAAAAACAAAACAAAACAAAACUUCUCCACAGAUACAGUAAAACCAAGGACCAAGCAUUAAAAACAUCCCAUCCACUUCUAAAAGUCCAGAGAUUGUUAAAGGCCAAAUGCCUGGUUAUAGAGGAAAGUUUGUGCCUGGCCUCUUAUCCUCCAACUGAAGCACUAUGGUUAGAUUCUUACAACGUUUUGUGGACUCUGUGGGUAAUUCAACUUAUUGCUGUUAUAUUUUUACUCUCGGGGAGCUGUGUUUGUGGCCUUUUCUGUCUCAGACGCCAAAAUAACUCGACCAAACUUGGAUACAAACUCUUUAUUUAUUUAUGGUAUUUGCAUACUGCUUAGUCAUUAGCAUUUAUAAGUGAUGUGAAUAAAAAUGAACCACAUAAGAGAAUAAAACAAUAAAAAGGCAUCAUAAAACCAAACACUGCCUUCAAAUGCCUGCUGGAACAAGAAAGUCUUUGUCAUGUGACUGAGAUUAGACCGGCACCCUCCACAAGACCUCAGUGAUCAGACUGGGAUAUAAGGGAUCAAGUGGUACUUGACAUAUCCUGAGCCCGAGUUGUUGAGGGUCUUGUAAAUUAAUGCACCUUGACUUGGGGAGGGGAGCACCAUUUGCUGUUCUACCUGGAGCAACAAAACAUCUUGGGGCAGCCUUGAUGGCUUUUUAUUGUUUGAGCGGGAAGGCAGAGGUGCAGUGCCUCAUUCAGAGCUUCUCUGACUAUGUAAACAAAAUGGCUGCCAUCCUCAUCACAACAUCUGUGUAUUCUUCUUAACAAAGUAGUAUAGCAGCUACCUCAUGGGAAGAAACUCUGCUUUCUCACAUAACAGGGCAGCAUGUUUUAGGGGUGGAAGGUGUGCCGUUAGGUUUUCUUAAAAGACGCAUCAUUGCUAUUUUCAAGUAUUAAAAAUUUGGGACAUUUCCCUUUGCUUGAUUUUAUUCAGGCCACAAUAGCUAUUUUUCUGGAUUAUCUUGACACAACCAGGACAGCUGGCAAUUUUCUUUGAAAGGGCUGGGCAAAAGUUUGGGUCACUGCAGGGUUCAAAGAAAUAAUAAUAAUUCUGGCAGCUGAACGAUGACAAGCUGGAAUUCAGUAAGUGAAGUUUUCCCUAUCACUGCACCUCCCUGCCAGGAACGGCUGCACCGGAUGCAUUUCUGUUUGUGGUGCAGCUGUUAAAGACACAGUUAGUCUGCCAGAAAAUGAGACAAUUUGUUGGAGAUCUGGCUCAUCCCCUCUUGCCCGGUAACCACUGCCUGCUGGCUCCACCACUAUGACAUUCCUUUCCCCUCCACCCGUUCACUGCCUUUUAAAAUAUUGUGUACAUCAAAAGCAUCACUGUAAAUAGACAAAGAAGACGGUGUUUUCCAUUUGUGUACAGUUAGACUCAUCAGCCAUACUCACCCACCUGUGUAUUUAAUAAUAUUAAAUAAUACGUUUUUGAGGGGGAUUAUUGGUUUGUUUUUUCUGUUUUAGUUAUGUAUUUUGAGUUCCCAUUUUGUAUUUUCCUGUUAUGGAUCUUUGGGUGAGGGGUGGUAUACAAAUUUAAUAUAUUAUUAUUAUUAUUCCAACAAUUACUGCUUAAUGACAUGGUUUCUAAGCGGUGUACAAUAAAGCUACAAAAAGCUACAACGGUGAUAAGAUCUGUUAAGAUUAACCAUAAAAUUAAAUUAAAAUGCCUGCUGAAAUAAGGUCUUCACCAAGUACAAGAAAUUCAACAAGCAAGGGGCUGAUUUCCACAGAAUACUAAAUGCAUGUCUGCAGCUGAGUAUUUGGGCCAUGGGCUCUGUAAUGGGAAAAGCAGCCCUAGGCCAAAUUCUCCCUUCUAUGUAACUUUGAAAGUCAUAGGGCUCCUUUCAGGGUUCAGACCUGGCACCUGACCCACACAAAUGCUUUGUACUUAUCUUUGGCACCCAGGCAGCCUGGGGAGAGCAGCAGAGGCAUGCCGAAAUCUGAGCAUGUAGUGGUCAUUAUGGGGUAGAACAGAGUUGUGUAAAGGGUAAGAUCAGUUUAGCUCUGAGCUAGGCCAAAUCAAGCCUCUGAUCAAAACUGCCUCCCAAGGAUUUGUUAUAUUGGUGCCACAUGCUUCCGCAGGGCAGUUCCAUAAAGUGGAUGAGGCCCAUUUGAUCUUCAGGGACACCAAUUUGCAUUAAAAAAUGUCCACAUGCUAAUUCAUAUGCAUAGAUGCAUUUAAACAGAAAUGCAAUAUGACUCACUAGAGUGGGAAAACUGUUACCAGGUGACCUGUUGGCCUGCCCAGUCAGUGGUCCGGGUGCUGCACACUGGUGGUGGGCAACUUCAAAUUCCCCUCCUGCUUUUCUUUCCAGUGGUUCCUUUUUUACUUUAAACUGGACUUGGGCCAGACACAGCUUUUCAAAUAGACGACUGCCCUCCAUAAAACAAGGACACAAGAUUACCCUCACCAUAAUCUUGAGAGGAAGGGUAAAUCGAGAGAUAGUGAGUGGGUCCACUAAGCCCCUGCACGGCCUCCAUGGCUGAACUAAAAUUUGAACCAAGGAUGCUGGACUAGGUGGGCCACUGACUUGAUCCAGCAGUAAGGCUCUUAUGUUCCUCCUGAACUACGGACCUUCCCCAAGGAAAAGAAUGAGGUUGCUACAAUCAGCAGCUGAGCCCCUUAACAAGGUUUGGGCCCUGGCAGUUGCCCUGUUUCGUUGGCCUCUGUGGCACUGGCCAUGCCCAAAGCCUUGCUAUCUGCUGAAUGUGUGCGUGUUAAUAAAAGCUGCUUUUAACAUUUCACUUAAUGAGGCAAAAUCCUUCUUACCUGCCUUGGGGGCCAAAAAGGCAAGCAAGCUCUGGAGAGCUAUUCACAUAUUUGCAUGUGCUGGUGAAAUCUGGAAAGCAGAAAGCCCCUCUCCGCAGUUUGCCCGUGACAAUAUUUGCUGGUUAAUAAAGACACCAAGGAUUUCAUUAGCAUAAGUCUGCUCAAAGUUCCAUUGGUUGACAGCUGGAAAGUGUGUGUGUGUGUGUGUGUGUGUGUGUGUGUGUGUGUGUGUGCAUGCGUGUGCACUUGCACAAGCAUGCGGGAAAGAGGAGGUUGGUGGCACUAAUUAUUAUUUUGGUUUUGCUCUUUAAGUUGUGGGGCAGGAACUGAAGAGGGGACACCCACCCCACUGCCAAGUGUGCAGAAAGAAGCUCUUUUAUGGAUGAGGAGCGAGGCAGAGUAGGGGAGAGCCACCUCACCUCCUUUGCACCUGGAAACCCCUGCAAAGCUUAGCUUGCCUUCUGUGCCGUUUUUUAAAUCCCUCCCCUUCUUUGCAAGGAAGGAACUUCUCAAGCUGAACUGUGAGAGGGUUUGCUGCUGCUGCUGCUGCUGCCGCUGCUGCCGCUACCGGCUUCCAGGGAACAGAAUGCAGAAGGCGCGAGAGAGAUGUGCAGGGAGUUUUUUUUUUCCUGUGGCAAAGUCAAGAGGAGCAUCAGAGCACCGGUGAAAGGGGGGAAGAAGAGAAAGAAAGAGAUCUUGGCAGGCUGCGGGGCACCAUCCCAAAGGCCCAUGAUGACCCCCCCACCGGAAAGGAUGGGAAAUCACCUCCAGGACUGUAAGUGAUGCUGAAGCGGGAGAGGAGCAGAGGGAAAGAGAUGGGGGGAAAUUGCUGGGCACUGCAGAAGAGUUGGGCGUGUUUAACCUUCACCAGUACAGAGCUGGUGUUGCAAAGCUUGGGCACCCAGAGGGAGGCACCUUUUGGGGGUUCUUGCAAAUGGAGGAUGGGAUGGGAUGAGCUGGGACACCCCCCUCCUUUGACAUUUUGGAAGCAGCACCAUUUGCCAGUUUUGCAAGGGUGUGUGUGUGUGUGUGUGUGUUUUGGGCAGGGGGGAGUUCCUUUGGGGAGGCUGGGGAAAUCUCUCAAAAGCCCUAGGUGGAAAAGAAGCGGCUUCUGCUGAGAGCUGCAAUUUUCUCCUUUCUGGGUGGUCCAGAGAACAGAGACCCUCUCUAGGGGAUUUGGGAAGAAUUAGGGUCAGCAGAGAGAGUUUGUCAGAAUGCUGAGGAAAAGGGAGAGGGUGGUAAAAAUAAAUCAUCCUAGCAGGGUUGCCCCUUCUUUCCCCCCCUCUGCAAUGGGGUGCAUGAUCAAGUUUUGCAGAGGAGAAGUGUCACCAAGUAAAGCAUCAAGAUCAGGUGUCCAGUCACAUUCAGGUCUGUAACUUUUGGGGACUUAUUGUGUCAAAUUCAAUUUGGAAACCAGAAUUCGUAAGACGUCUUAGUGGCUUUGAGGGCAGCGCCAUUCUCUCUUCCCCCAUGCAGAUGGGCUAGAAGAAUGAACAACCCUCGUUAAGAAGACUAAUACAAUCCUGACCCCCAUCAAUGCUGCCCAGAAGUGCAGAAUCUCCCAGUCUUGGUCAAGCGUGUAUAUUAAGUUGCUUCUGGAGCCCCAGGCCUAAAACCCUGGACAUUUGGUAGAGGCUAAUCUUGUAUACGUGUCCAAUGACAAAAACUUGUAAAAUGAGUAAGACAGACAGAUAGAUAGAUCUCAAGAGUGCACUUAAUGUGCUGCUGUGUUGUUUUAAUUAGGGUGUACAAAAAGAUGUAGAUAAAGCCUAAUAUUUACUGUGGAAUUCUCUCUCUCUUAAUCCAAAAAUGCAAAUGGAAUACUAGGCCUUGUAGUAGGGAAGCAUUAUGUUGAACUGGGCUCCUGAACACUUCAUGCUGGUUGCUAGACUUUAAAUAAAUAUAUGUUUUUUUCUAGUCUGGUUUGACACUGAUGGGCAAAAUGUAGAUUCUCUGAAGCUGGAAGGGAAAUGACAGAGGUCUGUUGAGUGGUUGAAUGUUAGUGUCGCAUUUUUGCUACUUUGACUCCAGUUGGAAAGAUUAUCUCUUUUGCUGGACCAGCUGUAAUUGAUCCAAGUGAAAUUAAUUUUGGUGGGUUUAAGCGGACAGACAGGUUAGGGUUUUUUCACUUCCUAACUGGCAGAGCUUGUUGAUUUAGAAUAGGGUGUGGAUUUGAAGAAGUUCCAGACUUAUUUUCUUGAAACCUCUCUGCUCCUUUUUUUUUUUUAAUGUGUUCAUCUGAUAAAGUGGCUAAUGCAGUCACUUUAUAAUGGGAUCGAUGGAGCUGGCAGAGGAGCAGGGCUGGCGGGUAGGGUGGGGGGGACGAGUAGAAACAGGAACUGGGCCAAGCAAUGGCAAUGAGUAGUGAAACUUGGAACAUCUCUGUUAAGUGAGUGGCUGCAGAAACCCAGGGUUGGAGCUGGAAGGAGAUGGGAUUAAAAAGCGAGAGACUUCCUUUUAUAGCAAAUGCUGGGCAGCAAAAGGAGUGUGUGUGUGUGUGUGUUUCUCUUCAUCCAAUCUGCCUUUGGCAGGUUCCCCAAGAAACUUCAUCAGUGCCUUGGCUUGGCUGGAAUCCCUAUUGCUUCACACGCGACUGAACCCCAGUCCCAACAUUCUUCCGCCGAUUCCUGAGCCCGGCAGAAUCAACAAAAUGUCCCUUCUCACAACCAUCCCAAACUAGUUCUAGGCUGUCUGGAUGACCCUCAAACCCGCCCUCCCUCCUACUCCACCUCCUCAUUCCGCUCAAAAGUAUGAACUGCAGUGUCAACGUUGGGCAACAGGCAGUUUUGAAAGGGCAGACCUUGAAAUGUGGCUGUGUGGGGCCUUUUCCUACGUGCAUCUUUCGUACAUCUGUGUCACUCGAUUUCCCUGCAGUUCCUUAAUGUAUCCUUGAUGACUGGCAGCUGAACGCAUUGUUAAGAGCUCUCUUGUUCUCCCAAAUGAUUAGGAGCUCAGGGCUUAUAUCUAUAUCCAUAUCUAUCUAUCAUCUAUCAUCAAUCUAUGCUUUCGUACGCCAUUUAUUGUGCACCGAGUGUUGCUCAUCCCUGCAAAUUUGUCGCAGCAUCCACUUGGCAUCGCUCUUGUCAAAAUCCCAUCCCACCAACUCUGAGUUUAACCCAGAUUUACCAUGAUUAUUAUUUUUUAAUUAAUCAGAUUUUCUGAAGAAAUGGUGAAUCCAGUGUAAAUGGGAAAAUAAUACAGGGCAACAUUUUGAUGAGGAUGAUGGUGCAGGACUUGCAGGUACAGGGAGCAAUGAAUCCACCAGAGAUCAUGGUGUGGAAAUGCCCUACCUAGCGCACCAUGGAUGUGCCUGGUACUUUACCAGGCACAUAACAGCUCCCUGCCCAUAAAAUCAAUUCUGGGGAGAUGCGGAGGAGGAAGAGGGAACAGAGGCAAGGGUAAAUGCAAACUGCUCUGUUUCAGAUGAACUUAUUUAGGCUUGCUUACAGGAGUGCAGGGGGCAUUAGACUUUUGGGAGCCUGUGAGCCACGUUUGCAAGGUGGAGAAACUGUCAGGGUAACACACCCACCCCCACACACACACACCCCACAACCUAUUCUAUUGACUACAACAGACAGCUGCUUUCAAGGCUAAUUCCAGCAAGGGGAGGGGAUCCUGCAAGCGCCAUGGAAGAUUUCAGCAGGUGCAUGGAUGUCCAUGGGCACCAAGCUGGCAAGUGUCACAGUCCGGUCUACGGGUGAUCGAAGUCCUGGCUGAGGAUGUUGGGACCGGGGGCAAGAUGGAGGGGUGGGAGCAGGAACGAGAAGCCAGGGGUCCAAGGGUCAGGAAGCAGGGAGUCACGAAGUCAAGAGGGUCGAGAAGCAAGGAGCCAAGAAGCCAAGGUGCAAGGAUCAGGAAGCAAGAAGCCAAACGCAGCGAGGCAGGAAACGUGUUACUGUGGCAAAGAGCCGAAGGGAAAUGCUGACCUUAUAUCUCUUCCGGCUCUAGCCACCAGGUGCAGUGACUUACCAAGCGGCCUCACCUGUGCGGCCAUGCCUUGCCUCUCCAGAACAAACUUAGGAAGGCCCCAGUCCUGCGAACCCCUACUGGUCACAGGGCCCGGCUCCUGCAUGCACUCUUGACAGGAACCCCUGCAGUAGUAUAUGGGAAACUAGAGGGUUGUGUCACAGAAUUCAUGGAAUAGGUGGCCUCUGAAGAGGGAUUGUAAGUAAGUAAGUAAGUAAGUAAGUAAGUGGUAACCUCAUGUAGUGUUCUGCACAGCAGUUCCUCACAUCUGGGCACCAAGGAUGGAUGAUGUCUUUUGAAAGAGCAGGAGCGUAUUGGAUGGCUGCAGGUGGUGGAGCUGAGACGUGAAAGUCAUGAGCCAGGGUUUAUCGCAGGAGUGGGGAACCUGUGACCCUCCAGAUGCUGUUAAACGCACAAGUCCCAUCAGCCUCAGCCAGCAUGGCCUAUCAGGGAUGAUGGGAGUUGUGGUCCAGCAACAGCAGGAGGGCACUAGGUUCCUCAUCCUUUGUUUAUCAAACAAGAAGAGCAGAGAGAUGAGGAGGAGGCAUGGCCAAGGACAGUAAAGUGAAGAAGGCAGCUGGGCUGGAUCCACCAAGAACAGACAGGAAGGCAGUGGGGGGGAUUUUUGGAGGCACUGCACAUUGUCAACGGGGAAAGGUAAACGGUUUGGGCAGCCGAAAGCUGGCUAUAGGCUAGGGAACAAGGGGCACUUCCAGGUCUUCAUCCUGACUUGUUUGCAGAGAGAACAGAUUGUGCUGCAUCAGAGCAAGUGUUAUUCCCAAACUUUCCAGUUAUUCCCGUCACUUUCCUUAUUGCAAAAAGUCUGAUCUUUUGGGGAAGCAGGAUUGUUGCACAAGCCCUCCAAAGCAACUAUAAUUGUGCAACCUGAAUUUCUCAUAUGUGAUUCCACCCAAAUAUAGUGACCCUCUGGAUGAUCCCAAGGUGAGACAAGAGAAAAGCAGAAAGGAUAUGGUUGCAGUAGUCUAGCUAAGACAUGAUUAGGGGGGUUACCUGUCUUCUAUUUCCCUUGAAAAAAGGACACUGGAGGCUUUGAAUGUCUUUGUCAUCUCUGUUUUAUUUACAAACAUGCAAGCAAGUGAAAGCAAAGAGACUCCUGCAGCAGGCACGAAAACUACUGCUGAUCCUGCAUCAGAUUCCCAAAGAGAGCAGCUGCUCCCUCCCCACCAGCUACUUCCAACUAAGCUUGAGCACAAAAUCUCCCAGCUCUCUGCCUGGCUCCAUUUGCCUGCCAGCCCCAACGGAAAAAUCUCAAGAACAGCCCCUGAGCCUGAGUUCUUACUGGCUGAAGGGUUUCACCUUCCAAAGGCAGGGAGAAAGAUUCACUCCAGAAAGAAAGCCACUCCAGGCUUGGAAACAGAUUACCUGAGAGAGAACCUUCUCAAAUAUCAAGCUACCCAAACCUUAAAUUCAUAGGAUUGUAGAAUUGUUGGAAGCACAAGGGUUAUAUAGCCUAACCCCCUGCAAUGCAGGAAUCUUUUGCCCACCAUGGGGCGAGCAUUGUUUGGUGUUGCAUUCACAUGUGCGAAGCAAGUUUUUAUGACUGACAGCUGUGCAUGUGUAAACUGAUUCCACUUUGAUUCCACUUAGCCUUUGUGGCUAAGGUGUCAUGGAAGUUCUGUCUGUGGGAAUUGCAGUGGCCUGGUCACUCAUGCGAUCCAUCAUGUCAGGUUGCAACAAACCAAUUAGGAACAUGGGAAGCUGCCUUAUACUGUGUCAGACCAUUGGUCCACCUUGCUCAGAAUUGUCUACAGACUCGUAGCAGCUCUCCAGGGUUUCAGAAAGGAGUCUCCCCCAGGCCUACCAGGAGAUGCUGAGGAUUAAACCCAGGACCUUCAGAUGCUCGACCAGUGAGCCACGGCUCCUCCCCAUACACAUGUGAACCAGUCUGGUGGCAAAUGAGCAAGCUGAAUAUACUGCCCUGUAAUGUACAAAGUGAUUUGAAGAUGCUUCUGAGAGGACCUUUGUCCUAUACCUGAAUGGUCCCAAGCCAUUCUUGGUCAUGCAAGCACUUGCAAUCAUCCACAAAAGUCAGUGAAAUGCAGCCAGAAGCACAUUUUGUGAUUUGAGACAGCAUUGCAGUUAUUAUGGGAACUGAUACUGGCUGUAUCUGUGCUUCCCCGGUUAUAAUAAUCGCCACCACUUGUAGCAUCUACAUUUUUCUAAGCUUGGUACCAAGUAGCCUCCCAAAGUGAGCCCAAACUGCAAGAGUGGGUUGAAGCGGGAAUCACAAGGCCUCAAGUUCCCUGAGAUUUCUGAGAAGAUCUAAAGAAAAUAACAAACACAGAGAGGAGGCAAUGGGAUAGGAGAGAGGAGAUAGGAAGGGUAAACUACCUGAGCAAUCUGUCUAGGAGUAUCCCUUUGAAAGGGCACCCUAGUGCAGCACUAAAACUGCUAGCAUGUUUGCAAAACUAAACAGGGUCCAAUAUGGUUUCAAAUUAGAUGGGGAAACACAUGUUGAGAUUUCUGCAUUGCAGGGGAUUGGACUAGAUGGCUCUCAAGGUUCCUUCCAAGUGUACAAUUCUAUGAUUCUAUGAAUGAGAUGGUGCAGUGGGGGCAAGGAUAUGAAGUUCCCAGUGGUGGUUGAUGAGUAUUAGAGCUGGUAGGUUGCAAAGCAGGGAGGCCAACAGUAGGUGGAGCCAGAGCAAAUGGUAGGCAGAGACAGGCAAAGCCAGAGCCAAUGACAGGCAGGGCCAACUCAUUCUAGUGUUGUCCCCAUCUUCCUCCCUGUUGAAUUCUACAGGUACUGAGGAGGAGGAAGCUGAUAAUCAGUGCCACCCCCUGGGCCAGAUAUAACCAGGCAGGUGGGGGCUGGUUGAUGGCAGACUGUGGUUGGUGGGCUCAAAUAGGUCUUCCUCCAGUGAAAGUUUCUAUCUAGAAUAAAGGGGAGCAAUGUCAAUAAUCUGGAUGGAGAAGGGCUGGUGGUAUUCCAGAAGAAAGGCUGAGCACCACAAGCAAUUGCAGAUAGAGUACUUUUAAAGUUUCCCACCACAGUGCAUGUGGGGGAAUAUUUGCAGGAGGAAGGUGAACUCCAUGUGCAAAAUUGAAUAGGGAGCCCAUAGCAAGGCUGUACUCGACCGUGUGCAAAAAGGGUUCGACAUGCAAAAGCGAAGCGGUGGAUCCUAACCUCCUCAAGAACUGCAAAUGGCUGUUGAUUAGUUUACCUGGAGGGACAGUGGGCGCUUGCAGACUGUCAGGUUUUCAGGUGAUUCAAUUACAUACUGACAGAUUCACACCACGCAAUUAGAGUUGACUGGGAGGUAUUGCUGGACAAACCCACUUCCCACUUUUUGCAGAAAGGAAAUGCACUAGAAAGUGUGGAAUAACACUUGUUUCCACCUGACCUCUCUGCAAACAUCAUCAGGAUGAAUGGCCAAUGAACUGGUCACCUAGAAGUUCCCAGUGCUUACUUGUUCUUACCAGAAGCUGCUGAAUGACAGAGGCAGCACCUGCCUGUGUUGGCUGUGUGCAGCUGAAUCAGGUGCUGCAUCAGGUACUUGCAUCCCUCUGGGAUCCUUGCUCCUCACAGGCAAUGAGGACAAGUUUAACUCCUGCUAGAGAGGGUAGCUAGUACACACCAAGCUUAGCUUUCCUCUGCUGUGCUUUGCACAGUCACUGGUAGAGUGAAGCUGAAUGAGCCAGGGAGUCAAGGGUCUGCCCUGAAGGACAGAGAGAAGAAGCAUCGCUGCAACAAGACCCACACCUUUGAGCAAAGGUUGCCAGGUGGGUGGGAUGAUUGGGGGGGGGGGAGGAUAGCAGUGGAAGGACAUGAGUGCUGCAUCCUUCUCUUAACAAAUGUAUAGAACAGAGCAACCAAAAUGGCCAAGGGGCUGGAGCAUCUCUGUUAUGGAGAAAGGUUGCAGUGUUAGGGACUGUUUAGUUGAGAGGGGAAAGGCAAAUAAUGGGAAGCAUGCUUAGGGAUGGGGAGAAAUCAAUUCAGUUCCAAAAUUUACCUAAUUUGCACUUUCUGAAACAACAUGCGAACCGAGACAGCUAUUCUUUGAAAUUUGCACUUUUGCCAAUGUUGCAAUGCAGUUCCCCAGCCGAGUGCGGUGCAUAAAAAUGCACACGCCAGAGUAAAGUGUACAUAAAAAUGUACAUGUUAGUGCAAAUAGCAUACACAAAUGCAUUGUGGUGGGGAACACUGCUUUGCAAAAAUAUGUAUAAUAGGAAAGAUUGCACACAAACAUGUAUAUUAAUGGGAAAGUAACGCCUAAACGCUAGGGAAAUUUCUUGAGGACUUAAGAAACAACAACACACCAAUGGAUGUGAAAAUGGCGAGAAGUGAAUUUAGGACCAGAAAAGCGAGAGUCUGAUAAAAACCAAAAUGGACUGAUUUCCUAACCCCAAUACAUGAUUGAGUUGUAUAACAUUAUGCAUGGUAUGGUGUAGAGAGAAGUUUUUCUCCUCUCAUAAUACUGGAACCUGAGGUUAUUCAAUGAUGCUUUAAAAGGGGAUUAGACGAAUUCACGCCAGGUCAGGCUGUGAAUGGCUACUUGUCACAGUACACCUCUGAGUACCCGUUGCUGGGGAGCAUGAAUGAGGGCAUGCUCUUGGGCUCAUGUCCUACUUGUGGGCUUCCCAGAGGCAUCUGGUUGGCCCCUGACAAAAGAGGAUGCUGAACUAGACGGGCCUCUGGCCUGAUCCUGCAGGGAUCUUCUUAUGCUCUUUCCCUAUUGCUGUACCCCUUUGCAGCCUUUGCCCCUAAGCCAGGGACGAGGAAUCUCAGGAUCAGGGGCCAAAUGUGGCCCUGCAGACCUCUCUGCCUGGCCCUCAGAACUCUCCCCAGGUCACUGGCCUUGCUUGGAACCCCCCUUGAGUGUUUUUGCCUGGUCGGAAAGGAUGCUUGCUUGGGGGGAGGAGAGCGAAGGGUGUGUGGAUGUUGUGUUGAAACUGUACAAAGAUAACAUUCACAUUUGUUACUCUAUGCACCACUGGCAUUUGGCCUUCAGAAGGUUGCCCAGAAGGGAAUGUGUCCCUCAAAAUGGGUCUCUUCCCCCCUGCUCUAAGUCUAAGCCAUUUCCUUUUCACCAUUUCCUCUCCCCAAGCCAAGCUUAUUUCUGGUCUUCAGUGGCCAGUUGGUGGGAAUGUGGCCUGGGAGAGGGAUGAAACAGAUGGGGGCAAGAGUUCAGCAUCAUCUCCCAUCUGACACUGCCCACCCCAAUCUACCGCUGUACCGUUAUGCAGCAGCAACCCCUUGUUUUAAUGCAGGCAUCUAGUUUCCCCCUUAAGGAAUGAGGCUGGAACAGUCAGUGGAAGAAGUUCUUCUUCCCCAGCCCUGCAUAAAAGGAUGGCUGGCGGGGCCUUCACUACCAUUGGGCAGAGUGAGGUGGCUGUCUCAGGUGAGAGUGGCAGGGUGCGUUGGCAAGGUGUCUUUGGGGGGGGACAGGGCUGUGUGUGCCACACGGCUGGCCCUGCCCUUCCUAAGCUGGCCUGCUUCCCCCAGAUGCAGUGGAAGAUGUCGAAGGAUGCCAGGCUCAGCUGCCACCUCCUCACAGAGCCACCUUGGCCAAGAACUGUCAGCCUCUGCAAGGUCAUGGGGCAAACUGGUUUUCCAGUCCAAGCUGGCAAGGGUUCAGCAGAUUUGUCAGCCUUCAGAGCAGAGCUGGGAAUGGAAAUGCACAGAGUCUUUCUCAUAUAUGUGUGUGUGUGUGUGUGUGUGUGUGUGUGUAUGUAUGUGUAUUGCUUUCCCCUCACAAGUAUAUUGUGCUCCAGUUGGUUCACCGAAAAUAGACAGUUGCAGGGUUAGCAAAAUGGAAUCAUAGAAUUGUAGGGUUGGAAGGGAUCUCAAAAGUUAUCUAGUCCAACCCCUUGCAGUGCAGGAAUCACAGCUAAAGAAUCCCUGACAGAUGGCCGUCCAACCUCUGUUUAAAACUCUCCCAAGAAAGAGAGUCCAGCACUUUCUGAGGUAGCCUGUUCCACUGUCAAGCAGCUCUUACUGUCAGAAAGCUCUUCCUAAUGUUUGGUUGCAGUCUCCUUUCAUUUUAAUUUGAAUCCAUUUGUUUGAGUCCUGCCCUCUGGAGCAGCCGCUCGCUCCAUCUUCCAAGUGAGAGCCCUUGAGACUGCAUGACUCUUUGCAUCACCGUGCACCUCAGAAGAGGGUUGCAGGGGAGGGGCAUUUCUGCGGCCUGGGCAGACUUUUUAAACGUCACCACUAAAGCUUUCUUCUUUGUCUUCUUCUUCAAUCAAAGACUCUGUGACCAGUUUGGGGCAUGCACUCAAAUUAUGUAUCAUGCAUAUGAAAUUCAAGGCAUUUUGAGCAACAACCCUCUCACCACCAGUUAUUUAAAACCAUAAAGCUUCACUUUAUUAAUAAUGGGUGCUUCCAGACAGUUGCUAUUUUGUAGGUGGCCACUCUGGGCAACUUAUAGCACAUAUUAAAAAUGGUAAAACAUCAGACAUGAAAAGUUUUCUGAUACAGGACUGCCUUCAGAUGUUUUCUAAUAGUCAGAUAGUUGUUUAUUUCCUUGACAUCUGGUGGGAAGGCCCUCUGCCUGGUUCCCUGUAACCUCACUUCUCUCAGUGAGGGAAAUGCCAGAAGGCCUUCAGAGCUGGACCUCAGCGUCUGGGCUGAAUGAUGGGGGUGGAGAUGCUCCUUCAGAUAUACUGGGCCGAGGCUGUUUAGGGCUCUAAAGGUCAGCACCAACACUUUGAAUUAUACUUGGAAACCUACUGGGAGCCAAUGUAGGCUUUCAGGACCGGUGUUAUAUGGUCUCAGCAGCCACUCCCAGACACCAGUCUAACUGCUGCAUUCUGGAUUAGUUAAUUAACAUUUAUUAGUCCCCACCAGGCCCCAAUGGUGGAGGUGGUGCCAUUAGAUUGCGAACCACCUGAAAGAGUCUUCUGCUGCUGUUUUAUGCAGAUGCAAUAGAGGCGGUGAAGAAGGUACUCUUCACUGUCGCUAUCGCCACUUGGUAUGCUCGAUGUUUAGCUCUAAUCCAGUCCUAUUCAGAAUGCGUUUUCCGCCACCAGCACUCAAGUGAUUGUUUCAUCGCCCUCAGCUCUGGGGGAAACCAUGGGGCUCUCUGGGCUCCAUGCAAUUGGAGAGGGUGCUUCGAAGCCAGCCAAUAGCCCUGGUUAACUCCACAUUCUAGCAGGCCACCAGGGAAUCAGCUAAGAGGCCAUCAACAUGGGAUAAAACACCUCCUACUACUCUUUGGAAACCAUUUGGAUCCAUUAAGUGGUGGGGGUGGACCAUGUUAAAGGUGCAAGAGCCCUGUCCUCUUUUCUGUCUCACCAUCCUACUUCAAAAACGAGGUCUGCAGCUGCAUGGGGAGUUUAGGGAAAGUGCAUCUCCCAGGCCACUGCUCCUGAAAGUAUCAGGUGGGCACAUCUGAAACACAACAGUGCCUGUCUCAUGUCCUUAGGUGCUUCCCACUGCAUCCCCAUGACUUCCUUCUUUCUACAGCCCAGUGAGUAUAAGGAAAGUCCUGCCUGCAUCAGCCCAAAGACUCUUAGUUGAGAAGAAAGGUGCCUAGGGCAAUAUGACACUUGUAGGUCACCACUCUAGAUGGACAAGCCAGUUCCACAGUUCCCUGUCUCUACAGGUGAGGCCACCUUGCUCAUCACAAAAUAGAGGCAUUCUACAGGUACUCAGCAACACUUACUUCCCCUUUGGAAAAGGCAAGAAGGGUAGCAGUGGCAAGUCGUCUUCCCUAUUAUGCUCAAACUCAGUCCCCAUUACAUUUGCUCCUCUAUCUUUCCCCAGCCUAAGUCCUUCUCACAAUGCUGCAACACCCUCCCUUUCUAGGUGGACCUAAUGUAUUCUGGAAGCAGAAGAGCAUUUCACAACAGUGGCAGCAGGAAAUGGGGAUACAGGAAGCUACCUUAGACCAACAGACCAUCUAGCUCAGUAUCGGCGACUUUCCCAGUCCUGCCUGCAGAUUAGGAGGGGCGAGAUGGAAGAAGAGGAAAGGGCUCCUGCACCUUUAAUAGUUAUGAAGAAGGAAUUUCAGCCAGUGUAGCCAGUUUUCACAUAAGGCACACCUGCUGAGAUUCCUCUUCUACAAUUAAAGGUACAUGAACACCAGCCUCUUCAUCCAUCCGACUACCCUACGGAAGGUGCCCGGGAUUGAACCAGGGACCUUCUGCAGGCAAAGCAUGCACUCUGCCACUGAGCUUCAGCUUUCACUUCUACUCUUCCUUCUUAUGUGUGUUCUAGCAACCUCAUAUCAGGAAUUCUAAGAAAGGUCAGGAAUUCUAAGAAACCAAAAAGCCUCAUAUAACCAACAUGCUAAAGUCUAAUUAAUGCAUGAAGGGGUUAAUGCCAUAGAGCAAUCUUAGCUCACCUUGGGAGGGACUAGAUAAUCAAGGCUUGUUCCCCUCCAGUUGGCCUAAGAAGCUCAGCAAUGUGAGGAGGUCUGAGCUGGUUGCUGCUCCUAUACCAACAAUUUAAUAAUUUAAUCACUGCAACUAAGUCAAGUUUUACUGCCUGUGCAACUUUUUCUGAAUGCUGUAUGGAAAAGCACAUGAAUCUGACCUUUGGAGAGUUUGAAAGUAAGCUACGGUAUUUUUAACUUACCAGACAUGUGGCAUUUUCUAUGCUGGGGAAGAGGGAAACUGUGGAAGGAACUUGGAAGGGCAUUUUCAAGGUCUGUAUUUCCAUGCUUUACUUUGCUGUGUAUUUUGUGAUUUAAAAUCUCUGCUGGGGUUCUCUCACCAAAGAGUACUUGCUCCAAACCUGGAUAUUUGCAUCCACGAAUUCUUCUUUUAGACCUAUUUUAUUUUUCCUUGCCACCAACCAAAACCAGUGGUUAAAACCAGUGCAAGGGUUCAGUCCACCAUAUUGAUUCAAAAUGGCAUCCAGUUGUAUCCAAACAUGCAAAAACCUGUUCCUUCAUCUCAGGAGCUAGAAUGCAAAAUUUGGCUACAAUAUCUUAAAGAGGGGUCCAAAUGCACAGUGAACAGGUUUCCAAAAUACGUAGAAUCAAGAACCAGUUGUCAGUAUGAAGGAUGGGGCUCAUCCCAGUUUGUGUGUCCAGAUUGCAAAUGGAACUGGGGAUGCUUGCUAGAGCUGAUUUCUCUCUUGCCUGGGGCAGCUUAUUUGAUAGUCCUGUAAACUUGCUGUGGUUCAGGAGAAGCCUUCAGCACCAGCCUUGAACCACAGAGACCUGGCUAUGAUUGCUUUCUGGAUUUGUUUUGCCAUUACUGACCUGAUGUCAGUGGUGUCCCCCACCCCACCUCCCAAGACCCUCAGCAAUUAACAUUCUCAGAUGCAGCAGCCCAAACAUGCCUCCAAAACUGUAUCUAGGACAGGGCUGACCUGGUGGAGCUGCCAUGGGUCUUUGGUGGGUGUCCAGAACUAGGCAAGGAAGAAAAUCUGGUGCUUUUGACAAUCUCUGAAGGGACCUGGCCAAACCCCAUUAAAUGCUGUGCAGGGAACAGACCCUUCCAGCCUUUCCUCUAUCUAGUUCUUCGUGGUGAUGGCAUUACUAUAUCAGCCUCAGGAUAACAUCCUGAAGGCCUUCUUAGUUUAGAAAGAAAGAUAACUUUGGAUGAGUACAUAAUAUACAUUUAAAGCACAUUCAAAACACAUUUUUCUCCCCUCCAAAAUCUUGGGAACCAUGGUCUAUAGAAGGUGCUGGGAAUUGUAGCUCCAUGAGGGGGGAACUACCUUUCCUAGGAUUCUGGGGUUGGGUGUAUGUGCUUUAAAUGUCUGGAGUGUAAGCAGUCUACAAAGAGGGAGGGCAAGAUAGAGGUGUAUUCAACUGUCCUUGGUGUGGAGAAAAUGCACAAAAAUAAGUUCUUCCUCACUGGGACAAUUCAAUGAAACCAGAUAAGAGGAGACUCAGAGAAAGAGGUAGCCUUCUUUACACAAUACAGUUGGCUUGCAGAAAUCACCGACACACGAGCCAGUGGUGGCCACCCAAUUAGGUUACUUUAAAGGGGGAUUAGAUGAGAAGUCUAUCCAUGCCUACUGGUCAUGAUGGUUAUAUGUUGAGAUGACUGAGAAUUUCAUUUCCAUACUUUUAAGAAAACCAGGAUGAUUUACAGUUCCUGGAUCAGAAUAGUUAUGCUUCACAGAAUGAUUCAGAUAUGGGUCAUAAGAGACUUAUGAAUUAAAGUGUGUGAAACUGAUGUGCGUCAGAAACAGGUUGAUCUGUCCAUCCCUAGUUAUUGAGAACCUCCAUGAUCAGAGGUCAUAUGCUAUUGAAAGCUGCUAGAGAGUAAUUGCUGGGGAGGACAAUUGCCUUCAUGUCCUGCUUCUGAGCUUUCCAGAGGCAACUGGUUGGCCGCUGCAAGGAUCAGGACGUUAUACUAGAUACAUAGUCCUCAGUUUUUCCACACCCAGGACCCAUAUUGAGCCCAAGCAUGUAUUUUGGGGGACCCACUUCAUAAUACAGUAGUACCCCUGGUUACGUACUUAAUUCGUUCUGGAGGUCCGUUCUUAACCUGAAACUGUUCUUAACCUGAAGCACCACUUUAGCUAAUGGGGCCUCCUGCUGCCGCCGCUUGAUUUCUGUUCUUAUCCUGAAGCAAAGUUCUUAACCCGAGGUACUAUUUCUAGGUUAGCAGAGUCUGUAACCUGAAGCGUAUGUAACCUGAGGUACCACUGUAUAUACUCUCUCUCUCUCUCUCUCUCUCUCUCUCUCUCUGUGUGUGUGUGUGUGUGUGUGUCAAGAUUAUAUAUCGCUUAAUCAAAAUAAUAUCUCUAAGUAGUUUGCGUAAAAAGUUAAAAAAUAUUCAUUAAAAUAGCAGUAAAAACAGGUUUGAUAGAUGUAAUAAAAUUGUCAAAAUAAUGAAAAACCAACAGAUUUUAAAUGCAAAUAUACACAAUAAUAUGUCCAAGUAGGCUUGCCUAAACACAAAAGGGUUUCAGCAGGCACCAAAAGCGAAGGGAUCUGUCUAAUUUCAAUAGGCAGCGAGUUCCAGAGUAUAAGUUUGAUUAAAUGUGCUGAACAAGCAUCAUGUGGCACUUGUAGAAAUGCCAGUUCCUGAAACCGCAGCAGUCAAGUGAGUAGAUAUGGGGUGAGGUGAUUGUUCCCAAGCUAUUAAGGGCUUUAUCUACUGAUAGGAACCUAUUCAAUCUAGCCUGGUAACAAAUCAACAGCCAGUGCAGAUCUCCGAGCAGGGGUGCAAUAUGCUGAUAGGAUCUUACUCCUGUCGGCGGUCAUGCUGCAGCAUUGUGCACUAACUGCAAUUUCUGGACCAAGAGCAAAGGAGGCCCCACACAGAGUGCAAUGCAGUUAUGCUGCCGCUGCCGCCCACCUUAGGUCAGGCUGAAACCCUGUACCUAGUGGCUCUUGACCUGCCAUGGGCCUAAUCCAGCAUGGGUGAGAGGUGCUGUGGCUGAGGAGGGGGUGUUGCCUGGAAAGCAUCCCAAGGGCCAGAUAGACAGGAGUGGAGGGCCGUAUUUGGCCCCUAUGUCUGAGAUCCCGCACCCUGUUUUCUGGUUUGGAUUCAAGAGCUAGAGGGGACUCAUUUGGGCUGUUGUAGGGCUUAUGCAUACUUGUCUUAAUCAUUUCCAAUAAUUUCCAAUCAGCCUUAAUCAUUUCCAAGCCAAUACACAAAGUGAAAAGCAGCUAUCCUUUGAAAUUCAUGCAGCUACAAAUUCUGCAGUUCUCCAACCCCCCAAAAAAGUAUAGCAAAAUGCAUGUAAGUUAGUGAAAACAAUGUGCAGGAAUGCAUUCUAUCAGGGGAAAUUGAUUGCAGAAAUAUGUGCAAAGUUGCAUAGAAUAAUUCAUAUAUUGGGAGAAAUGAACAGGAAAGUGCAUAGGAAUUUUUGUGUGAUUAAAAAAAAAUUGCAAACUGAUGUGGAAAUGGUGUGAACUGGACUUGAAAUGGGAAAAAUGAGGAACUGAAAAGAACCAAAACUGACAGAUUGGUCUGCCCCUAGGUUCUGCACCCAACGAACAAAUCACAGUGCAGGGAGGGGAUUUUGACCCAGUUCCUGCUAUGUUUGUGGGAGGGUUCUUAUGAUCCCAGAGGCAGAGGCAGUAGAGUGGGCCAGCAUCUCAGGAAUGCAGCCAACAACAUCUCAUAAAAAUAAUCUUGCUGGGAAAAACCCACAGCCCUCUUAUCGGACAACAAAGAGCCAGGCACCUUUGGAAAGCGCCAAAGCAGGGUACAGAAGGUUGUCCCCAGCACCUGAUACUCAGGAAUAGACCCCUUUUGUCCAUGGAGGUUCUGCUUAGCUGCCACGAUGAAAAGCCUCUGAGAGAUCUGCCUUCUGCAGAUUUGUCUAAACCCAAUCCAGCUUCCAUUCUGGAUUCUCUGGGACUUCUGAGUAAUAAGUUUAUUUCUACCUAGCAGUGCUGUGUGCGCCAGAAGCAGUUUAGUCAUGCCGGCCACAUAACCCAGAAAGCUGUCUGCAGACAAAUGCCGGCUCCCUCGACCUGAAGGUAGACGUGAGCGCCGCACUCCAUAGUCGAAUUCGACUGGACUUAACCAACCAGGGUUCCUUUACCUUAAAUAGGCAGUCUGGAUCCCAACCCUUCAAAAUCACAAUGUGAAAAGUGACAAACUCUCAGCUCACCCCUCUUGAGAGUGUGAAGCUGGCAAGAGCACCUUCUCUGCAGGCAAGUGGGAAGAUGAGGGCAGCUUUUGGAGCCGCUGCAAAGCUAGACUCCAGAGCUCCUUUGUGUUUGCUAGGUUUGGACAAACCUAACCGGCACUUUCCGAAACAAUAUGCAAACCAAAACACAUCCACCCUUUGAAAUUAACACUUUCUUGAGUUUUCCAGUGCAGUUCUCCAGUGAAGUAACGUGUCGUAAAAUGCAUAUACUAGAGGGAAGUGUGUAUUAAAAUGCAUACGAAAGUGCAAAUAGCCUACAUAUGGGGGAAUUGUUUUGCAAAACCAUGUAUAAAAGGCAAAACUGCAAAUAAAAAUGUGUAUAUUAAAGAGAAAAUUGCACUCAUCCACAUGCUUGAGAUCAGCCCUGAUGUGCUAGCUUUUUUCUGGCACAUGGGACAGCAAUACAAGCAUCCCUCUCCACCACUUCUGCAUUCUACCACUUUAUGUGGCUGUGUGUAGAUCAGGCCUGUCUCUCAGCCUCACCUACCUCACAGGGUUGUUGUGAUGAUAAAAUUGGAUGCCCAAGAAGCUCAUGAGGGGGGCACAAAUGUGAAGACCAUCUCCUCUUGUUUGCAUGCAGCAUUUGGCAAACAGAGAGGCAUACUGCCUUUGACCAGGAAGUUUUUUAAAGCCAACUUUGCUGAUGGAUGUUGGAAGAACAUCCCACUGAGGCUGGUCCCUUUGGGUGUCUCCACUCUAGCCUACCCUAGGGUAGACUACUUGCCUGCCUUCUUACUUACAAGCAGUCCAGAGGUUGGCCUUGGCUGCCAGCUUCUUCUUCCUCCUUAAUCUCAGUGUUGCCCUUGUAGAACUCAGCUCUGCCUGUCACUGGCUCCGGCUCCCCCUGCUGUUGGUCUCCCCUACCUUACGCCCUACCAGUCCCAACACAAACCAGCCACCACUGAUAACAUCUCCUCUAUGUGCUGGGCUGGCGUAAGACAUGCCUGAAGUUGCAUCCAGACUGUGUCAGUAUUUUGCAGGAGGGAUUCAAUUCUGAUUCCUGGAGAUGUAGCUUCAUGCAAUUAAAAGUGGAUUAAAGCACUCUGGUGCAACAAAUCCACUUAAAAAUAAACAGCAGGCCUUUUGUGGUUAGGAAAGUCACAGGGAAGUGCAUUUUUAAAAGUGUGGGAUAGAUGAUUGAUUAACAGGAAGAUGUAUAAAUGGCGCAGAAGCAAAUCAGGAUGAAAUCAGGAUAAAUGCUUGUGGUUGUACAACUCCACAAGCAAAUAAGAAUGAAUGGGUUCCUUUAGUAGGUGGGAUGCGUUAGGCCACCUUUUAGGUAGGGGUGUGUGUGUGUGUGUGUGUGUGUGUGUGUGUAGGUUUAAUUUUGUAUUGGGUUUUGUUUUUUUGUAUUGUGAGUCACUCUGAGCUUACAUUUUGUUUUUUUAAAAAAAUAAUGAAAAAGACAGACACCGUGAAGUCUCUGCAUAACCUUUGUGCGAGCAAAUCAGGAUGAAUGCUCAACAAACAGGUCAUCUGGAGGCAAAAUACAUGAUGGGACCCCUACAUUCCACACACAGAAGCCAACCAGAUUGGCCCUCCAGCACUGGCAACAGCACAGCAUCUUCCACAGCACCUGAGAGCCAUAGGCUAGCUUAGGGGGGCAGGCUUGCAUUAUCCUCCCAUAGCUUGCCACAACUUUCUACCUUCAUAGCGGUGGAUGCUUAAGGCAGCUGCCUCACUCUGCCCAAUGUAAGGGCUGGCCACGCCCAUGAGUUUCUCUGACCUCCACUAACAGGUUUUUCUUAUUUUUCAGGGAUCUUGCUGGGUUCCUCUGCGAGGCACAGGACAGGAGAUGAAGCUGCCCACUCCCUCUUUCGCUCCCUCCUGAGCCUACAUACUUCUUCAUAUGCCCAUAUGGAGUCGGCUGGCAUUAUGGAAUGUUAAGAAGUAUGUAUCAUUGGGAUGGGAUCCCUGCCUGGAAUGACCUCUCUUCAUCGGCUCUCGGCCUGCAAUUUUCCGGAAGCAGCAAACAACUCUGAAUACGCCACACAGAGCAGCUGCUAGAGAAGGCAAAGGAGUGAGUGCUUGCCUGUAUGCUUUUGUGCCCCUGGCGCUGGUAAAAAGGAACCAGAUCGACUGGCAAAUGGAUUUGGUCCCCUUCAACCAGCUGUAGUGGUGCAUGCAACCUCUGGAACGCCUGUCUGGUUUAACCGUGACCCUAAGAACAUACCUUUGUAUGCCACCAUCCCAUGAAGGGCAGUAAAAUGGCAGAGUUUGGGCUGCGGAAUCAAAGUUUCCAUUAUAUUCUCUCUCUCUCUCUCUCUCUCUCUCUCUCUCUCUUCCUCACUCCUUUCAUUUCCAGCAACGUGUUGUAAACAUAGCUUGGAAAUAGUUUGGCAACAUUUGCUGAAAUCUCAAAAGCCAGGAAACAGUUGUGGAAGGUGUUCAGAUAUUUAUGUGUAUUUAAAGAAUUUUUAUCCACAAAAUGAGCCAAGUAAAUUAAUGAAUCCCAAGUAUCAAUACAAACAAGAUGGUUCUUUCCCAUAGACUGAAGGGUUGUCCACACUUCUGCUUGCCCUGUGCCAAGAAAGCACAGGUCUGAGCAGUUUUGCUUUUGUCCUCCUCCUUUCCGCUCAAAAACCUGUUCUUUAGUGCUAAAUUGAAGCAAACGUCAAUCUGGAGAAAACCCAACUGAUGUUUGCACCAAUAGAGCGGGUUAUGCCGGGAGAAAGUGAUGGGGUUAAGUGGAAGUGUGGAUGAGCCCUGACAGUCUAAAAGAUAUGGCACAAAAGGAAAAGAAAUGGGGAGGGAGGAAAUCUAGUCAAGAGGCAGGGGUUUCAGUAACCUGUAGAACUCUUUGCCCCUCUUGGGACUGGCAGAAGCAGAACGAAUUGUGCAAAACAGUAAAAAUUCUAAAUAAAUGUUUCAACACAUGUCCUGCUGGACAAGGCCAAAGGCCCAUCUAGUUCAGCGUUUCCAGUGGUGGCCAAUAGAGUACAGAAACAGCAAAAAAAAAAACCCCAUCCCUGGCCACGAUUUCCAUUUCAGCAGCAUAAUUAACUUGUGGAACUUACUAACACAUGGUAUGAAGUGUCCAGUGGCAAUAGGGAGUGGGGAUUCCUGUACUAUUCACAUUUGUACUGUAUAGAAGAGGGAAAGUUGAAGGGGUAUCUUUUCUCACCCUGCAGGUCUCUGGAAUGACAAAUAGCACUUGCCAAAAUCUUUUUUAUACAAGACCAUCACUGUAUAGCUCUACCCUACAUGGUUGAUCUCUAGAAGGCCCCACGUCAGUCCCCAGAUAUAAAGGGAUGUUGGGCACCAGAGCUUGGAAACGCCUUCCUUGUGGGCCUUGGGGAGCUGUUGCUCAUCAGAAGUCAAGAGUGCUGCCCUGAAUGAGCCAGCAGUGUGACUCAGAAUAAGGCACACAGGUGUUCACAGGUGUCUUCUGCUUCUGGUCACUGGGGAGGCAACCUGGGGGAAUCAAGGUUUCAAUUGCCCCUGAGCCUGGAUACCUCAGGCUCCCCACUGCCGCAUUCUGCAUUUAGGGAGAUCAACCACGGCUUGCUGGUCACAUGCUGACUUUAGCAUUAUAGUCUGAGGAGCUGCAGGGUUCACAUUGUGGACUCAGGUGCCAAAGGAUCAAGCGGAUGGUCUACCAAAAGCAGGCUAGGGGAUGCCUCCCCCCCACAUCCAUACAUAAUUGUGAACCACAGAUCACUCAGUAUAUAUGUUGUUCCCCAUCUCUGCUCCUUCACACCCUGUUUCUGUGAGUUGAUGGCAGUUGGAUUUUUAAUUUGUUUUUUAAUUAAUAGAUCAUAGUUAACCUGAGCUGGCCGUUUCAGUCCUUCAGAAAUUUAAUCCUCAAAGAUGGGAUGGGCUUAUUAGUGGACAUUAAAUCAUAUCUUCUGGCUAUGCAAAGCAUCUCUUGCGUGAACAUUAAAUAACGUGAUGGAUUUUGGCCCGCGCCCACCAGCCCAUUGCUUUUGCUAACCAUGCAAAGAGGCAAAGAGUGCUGCAGGAGGACACAGAAGCCCCGCCUGCUAGAUCAGGAGGCAAGUGAAACAACAUCCAUGAAAAUCCUUAGAAACACAUUGGGGGGGGGGUGUUUCACUAGGAGAGAAGUUUAGUUUUUAAAAGCUUUAUUGCUUAAAGGGUUUACAUGGGUGCCAUAGAGCAAUCCAUUGCUGUAGGGAAGGCAAACAAUCCACAUUGCUUAAGCCAAGUGCGAACAUGGUAAGAUUCCUUUCCAGCCCCAUCAACCAGCAAUCUGUACAGUGGCACCAUGUUUGGGGGGGCCCCAGGCACCCACAAAUUUUUUGUUGUGGGUACCCAGCCUCCACAUCCCACCCACACUGUCUGCCACUGCCACUCCCCUGUCAUGUGCCACGCACACCCCCACCUGUGCAUCCCCGGGGGUUGGGCUUCCACCGUGGGGCCUCUGAGGCCCCUUGGCAGAUGCAGUUUCAUGGUAAGGCAGUGGGGCCCUCAGGGAAAAUGUGCCAUGAAAGAAACUAGGCCUGUGCAGGCCCAAUUUCUUUUAUGGCACACACGCGCCACAACAAAAUGGCGUCUCAGCAUGAUGUUGCGACAAGUGUGCUGGGCACCCACAGUUGGGGAGCCAAAUUGGCACCCCUGCGUCUAUAUAGUCCUUGGGCCAGACCAGAAAUCCGUAUUGUGUAAGGUGACAAAACUUCAUUGUUUUCUAAAGGUGUUUCUGGAUUGCAUUCUCAGAUGACAACCCAUUCAGACUGUUUUUUUAAAAGCUUUUUAUGUCACCAAGACUGCUAAAGCUUUUUUUUUUUUAACCUAAAUUAAGCUACAAUGUGUGAACAAAUUGUCCAAUUUUAAAUUUUAAAACUGUGUUGGAAAGCUGAUGGAUUUCUUAGAAAUAACUACAGUGCGGAAAUGACUGGCAGAAUCCAAGACCAGGGAGAAGAGUCGAUGGAAGAAGAUUGGAAAAAGUUUAAAGACUAUCUACAGAAAUAUUGUAAAAUUAAUGAAUGCUAGAAUGAUGUUGGAAAGAAACUAAGUGAACUUUAGCUGAAAGGUUACAAGGAAUAUGAAAAAAUGGAUUAUUAAUAUGUAAAAAUCCAAAAUUACAAUACUUUAUGAUUAAUGAUUAGGAUACAUAAAGAGGGGAGGGAUUUGCUGAACAAAAUAAUUGAACUGGAAUACAAAAAAGGGAGGUGUGAGGAGGUCCUGGAACUAAGCAAAUGAAGGUUAAGUAAUGGAAGGAAUGAAUUGUUUUUAAAUAUUUUUACUUUGUAUUUUCUUUUUGUGUGUGUGUGUUUUGUAAUAUCUUGAAAACUUCAAUAAAUAUCUUAUAUAUAUAAAAAAAAAACAACUACAGUGGUACCUCGGGUUACAUACACUUCAG